GGAGCAUGUGGUUUAAUUCGAAGCAACGCGAAGAACCUUACCAGGUCUUGACAUCCUUUGACCACUCUAGAGAUAGAGCUUUCCCUUCGGGGACAAAGUGACAGGUGGUGCAUGGUUGUCGUCAGCUCGUGUCGUGAGAUGUUGGGUUAAGUCCCGCAACGAGCGCAACCCUUAUUGUUAGUUGCCAUCAUUUAGUUGGGCACUCUAGCAAGACUGCCGGUGAUAAACCGGAGGAAGGUGGGGAUGACGUCAAAUCAUCAUGCCCCUUAUGACCUGGGCUACACACGUGCUACAAUGGACGGUACAAUGAGUUGCGAGACCGCGAGGUUUAGCUAAUCUCUUAAAGCCGUUCUCAGUUCGGAUUGUAGGCUGCAACUCGCCUACANGAAGCCGGAAUCGC
rnacentral:rRNA from 1 species